rnacentral:rRNA from 1 species
AAGAUGAUCUCGCGGCCUAUCAGCUUGUUGGUGAGGUAAUGGCUCACCAAGGCGACGACGGGUAGCCGGCCUGAGAGGGCGACCGGCCACACUGGGACUGAGACACGGCCCAGACUCCUACGGGAGGCAGCAGUGGGGAAUAUUGGGCAAUGGAGGAAACUCUGACCCAGCGACGCCGCGUGCGGGAUGAAGGCCUUCGGGUUGUAAACCGCUUUCAGUAGGGAAGAAGCGAAAGUGACGGUACCUACAGAAGAAGCACCGGCUAACUAUGUGCCAGCAGCCGCGGUAAUACAUAGGGUGCAAGCGUUGUCCGGAAUUAUUGGGCGUAAAGAGCUCGUAGGUGGUUCGUUACGUCGGAUGUGAAAAUCUGGGGCUCAACCCCAGACCUGCAUCCGAUACGGUCGAGCUAGAGUUUGGUAGGGGAGACUGGAAUUCCUGGUGUAGCGGUGGAAUGCGCAGAUAUCAGGAGGAACACCAAUGGCGAAGGCAGGUCUCUGGGCCAAUACUGACACUGAGGAGCGAAAGCGUGGGGAGCGAACAGGAUUAGAUACCCUGGUAGUCCACGCCGUAAACGGUGGGCGCUAGUUGUGGGAACCUUCCACGGUUUCUGCGACGCAGCUAACGC